AUGCAAACAUCAGUCACUCAUUCAUACUUAUUCAUUCGUUCCUUUUUGACAUUCAUUCUAUUGGAGAGAAUCGGACGGAUUGCACGUUGGAGUCUAUAACCUCCACCCCAAAAUUGUUUUACAAUUAAUUAACGUGUAUCCAAUGUGUCAAUAUACGCAAUUCGAAAUUUAACAAGUGUUUCCAUGAACAUUUGUUUUUGGUCCAUCGAGCCUUCUACUUAGAACAGUGAAGAGGACAGUGAUCAUUUGUUUUUGUUCCAUCGAGCCUUCUAUAAAAGUGAAGAGGACAGUGAACAUUUGUAUUGGUCAUCGAGCUUUCUAUAAAAGUGAAAUCGUGAAAUUAUAAUAUUACAUGGAGUUUGGUGUGCUGCAAAUUUACUCAUAAAACUGAACGUUGGUGGUCAUCCCACUACAACCUGAGUGCCGUCAUCAAUCUACCGACCGGGUGCCGAUAGUCAUCAUAUUUUAUCAAAAAUACUCAAAAUACAAGUUCGUCGUGUGAAGAAUCAAAAUGGCUGAACGUAUGCCGUCUCCCCGCCGAAACGCAAGACCAUGAAGUUGGGCGCAGAAAGAAGCGAACAUUGAACGAGUUGAAGAACGAACAAGAAGAACGAGGUGAACAUAGGCGCUACUUCCGGAAGACAUCAUUCUUUACUUCUUCCCUUGUUAAUGGCGAUGGACUUAUUCUGUUUCGCCACUAAGUGCAUAAAAAUCAUUCAUUUCUUCCGUUCCUUCCCGCGUUUUUAUAUAGUUGGCGUCCUGUCAUCUGUCAACUGUCUUUCAUUCGUUCGUUUCAUUUUAUCUUGUCGUUAGAAAUUUGUCUCUUCGGGAUUUUGGAUAAAAGUUUAGUAAAUAAAGUCGUGGUUCAAUUUCCAAGCCAUGGCCGAAAAGACAUUAGAAAGGGGGUACGUGAAGGCAGGAAUAACACGCCUAAAACACUUUUGUUUUUCGGAUUCUUUCGAAUCCGCAAGUGUCGACGCUCUCCGCUUAAAAAGAGAACGUUUAAUUAAUCUGUUUAAAGAAUAUGAAUUAAUAAACAAAAGUAUCCUGAAUACCAAUGCCGAUGACAGCGAGGACGUCGGCAAGGUUGAGGAUGUAUAUUACGAGUGCAUGGAGUUGUUGGACGCCAGACUAAACCGCCAAAAUAAUGGUAUACAAAGAGAAAAAGGUGAGUACAGUCGUCUUCCACCAAUAAAUAUUAAACCUUUUAAUGGCUCCAACAUUGUGGAUUACUAUCCUUUUAUUAACAUGUUCACAUCGGUGAUUGACAGUAACCAAAGUUUGACCCCAUGCGAAAAAUUAUACUACUUUCGCUCAUAUUUAAUGGGAGAGGCUUUGGAUAUUGUCAAAAACUUGACUUUAAAUGGUGACAAUUAUCAGGAGGCAUUAAAAUUGAUUAAAGACAGAUAUGAUAAUAUUCCAAAAAUGGUAAAUCAUCACAUAAAUAGUAUUCUAGAAUACAAGGCAUUCAAUAAAUGCACAUCUCAAAAUAUUAGGUCCCUGAUAGCCUUUGUCAAUUUGCAUUUAGCGGCAUUAAAAAAUUUAAAGCAACCCGUUGAACACUGGGAUUUGUUAUUGAUUAAUAUUUUGAGUAAAAAAGUAGAUUCCUACACAUUGAGAGGUUUCCAUUUGGAAAGAGAUGCAAAGACUCUUCCCACAUUAUCAGAAUUGUUACAAUUUUUAGAAAGGCGCGCAUUAGCUAUGGAGACAAAUGAGGAGAGGCCUGCUCCAGCCAAAUCAACCAGCAAUGUAGCAGCCAUCAAGACAACAAUAUGUCCUGCAGCGUGAGUCGCUGCCAGUUACUCCAAAUGGCCCUUUCCUGGUUAAUACAUUGUUCGGGUAUGUGGUAGCAGGCAGCCUGCCUGUCUCCGCUGGUAACAUCUCAUCUUCUAAUGUUUGUGUCACUAUUAAAGGUAACAAAUUUGGCUUCCAUAAUAAUGCUUCUGAGACACCUUUUGAUCCUAUAGAUCAAACAUUUAAUUAUUCUGAAAAUAAUUGUAAAAAUAUUAAUGACUUAGAAAAAACAAUGUCAAAUUUUUGGGAAUGUGAAAAAGUACCAGUUUUAUUCACUGAAUCCUCAUCUGAACAGCAAUUAGCUGAAGAAAUAUUUUUGGAAUCUGUUAAAUUAGAAAACAAUCGUUUUUCUGUUGCUUUGCCAUUGAAACAAGAUUUAGAUCAGAUUAAUUUGGGUGAUUCUUUGCACAGUGCCUUGCUAAGACUUUAUAAUUUAGAAAAGAGAUUUUCAAAGGAUCCUGAAUUGUUUGUAAAGUAUAAAGAUUUCGUUGAUAAAUACCUAGCAGAUGGCCAUGGAAAGUAUUUUGAUAUUUCAAACUAUGAUUUGAACAAAGGAAAUGUUUAUUUUUUGCCCCAUCAUCCUGUUUUAAGUAAAAGCAAAACCACUCCGGUUAGAGCAGUUUUUGAUGCUAGCAUGAAUGCUAAAAAUAAAGUUUGUUUGAAUGAUUUAUUGCUAAAUGGUCCUACAGUGCAAAAAGAUUUGUUUGAUAUACUUAUAUUACUGAGAACUUAUAAAUAUGUUUUAUUGUGUGACAUAAAAAGCAUGUAUAGGCAGGUUUUAAUUGAAAACAAGUUUUGUUGCUUACAAAAUAUUUUAUGGCGUGAAUCUCCGCAUGAUCCUGUUCGUUGCAUUCAACUGCAAACUGUCACUUAUGGCUUAAAAAGUUCUUCUUUCCUAGCUACACGAUGCCUUAUCGAACUUGCACAGCGCUACAAAAAUGACUAUCCUUUAGCAUCUUUUGCCUUGCUUCAUUCAAGUUAUGUUGAUGAUAUACAAUGCGGCUCUAAUCAACUGAGUGAGUUAGAGCAAAUUAAGAAUGAGUUAAUUAAGCUUUUGGGUUUAGGAGGCUUCUCAUUGCACAAGUGGUGUUCAAAUCAAAUAGAUAUUUUAUCAGACAUCCCUAGUGAAUUACACAGUGUAACUGAAAAAGAUUUUGACAAAAUUAACACCUACAUUAAAACAUUAGGUUUAUCCUAUGAUCUGUUCUGUGAUAUGUUUAAAAUAACUUGUCCAGAAAUUAAUUUACAAGAGUCUUACACAAAACGUCAAGUGUUAAGUUUUAUUAGUAAAUUCUUUGACCCGUUGGGACUUGUUGGCCCUAUCUUUACACAAGCUAAGGUUUUGAUGCAGCAAUUGUGGUUUGAAAAUCUAAAGUGGGAUGAAGUAUUACCAGCUGAAUUACAUGAUCAGUGGGUUCAAUUCGUUAAAAGCUUAAUUAAAAUGCAUUGCAUUUCUGUGCCACGAAAUAUAAAUACGCUUAAUGCUGUUUCUAUAGAACUUAUCGGAUUUUGCGACGCCUCCAAUAAGGCAUACGGUUGUUGUUUAUACUUACGUGUAAUUGACGCUGACAAUGUUGUUAGAAUCAUGCUGUUGUGUUCAAAAUCUCGCAUCAAUCCGAGGAAUAAGUGCUUAACAACACCGCGUCUAGAACUCAACAGUGCUUUGCUACUUGCUAUACUGGCUAGGAAGGUGCAUUCGAUAUUAACACUUAAGUAUGAGAUCAAGACGUUUUUGUACUCAGAUUCUCAAAUAGUCUUGUCAUGGCUUGGAAUUGAACCAGCGAAACUCAGCGUUUAUGUGUCUAACCGGGUUGAGAAAAUAAGGCAGUUGACAAGUGAUUUUCAAUGGAGUUAUGUUUCUACAAAUGAAAACCCUGCUGAUUGUUUGUCCAGGGGUGUACAACCUUGUUCCUUACAAAAUAAUUUGUUGUGGUGGAACGGUCCAUCAUAUUUGAAGGACAAAAAUUAUAAACAUUGUAAAAGUGAUGAAUGUGUUGAAAAUGUCAAUACCUUACCUGAAAUAAAAAUGACUAAUGUCUGUAAAAAUGUUAAUAACUUACCUGAAAAGACGGUCUCAAAUGUAUGUACUGCUCAGGAAAAGGAUAAUUGUAUUGUAGAAUUUUUGAAUAAAUAUUCUGAUAUUGAUAAAAUGACAAGGAUCAUGGCAUACAUGUUGAGAUUUGUUCAUAAUUGUAAGAUCCAGAACAAAGAUUGUAAAUUGAGAGGUUUUUUGACGCCUAAAGAACUCAAGUCAGCAUUGUGUUUAAUUUUAAAAAUUGAUCAAGAAAGAUAUUUUCAUGUAGAAAUUAAUAACUUAUUAUCAAAUAUGCCAAUAAAGACAAAUAUUGCCAGUCUGAAUCCAUUUGUUGAUGCUCAGGGUUUACUAAGAGUGGGAGGCAGAUUGCAAAAUGCUGUAUUAUCAUUUACUAAAAAGCAUCCAAUUAUUUUGUCUAAAGAUUCAAAUAUUACUAAACUAAUUAUUUUACAAGAACAUUUGAGACUUUUGCAUGCAGGACAGAAAUUAGUGUUAAGUAGUUUAUCUGAAAACUAUUGGAUUGUUAAUGCUAAUAGGGUGAUAAAAUCUGUAUUAUAUAAAUGUAUAAUUUGUUUCAAAUUAAAAGCAAAAAAUGCAACUCAGUUGAUGGGUUCAUUACCUUUGGAUAGAGUGCAAAUGACUCGUCCAUUCCAAAUUGUGGGCACUGAUUAUGGUGGUCCCUUUUAUGUAAAACAGAGUAGAAUUCGCAAACCUGUUAUAACUAAAGCAUAUAUUGUUAUAUUUGUAUGUUUUGUAACUAAAGCAAUUCAUAUAGAACUUGCUUCUGAUAUGUCAACAAAUACAUUUUUGGCCUGUCUUAAGAGAUUCAUUGCUCGUAGAAAUAAGCCUACCAAAAUUUAUUGCGAUAAUGCUGCUAAUUAUAAGGGAGCUAAUAAUGUAAUGAAAGAUUUGUAUAAACUGUUUGACACCACAGAACACCAAAAUGCUGUGAUGAAUUACUCAAACUCAGAAAGAAUAACUUUUCAUUUUAUUCCAUCUUAUUCCCCAGUUUUUGGUGGUCUGUGGGAGGCAGGCAUAAAAAGUGUUAAACACCACAUGAAGCGUGUCAUUGGUGAUACUGUUUUAACUUAUGAGGAAAUGUAUACUGUGGUUGUUCAAAUAGAGAGCAUAUUGAAUUCAAGGCCCAUUACACCCAUGUCUAGAGAUCCUGAAGACAUGUCCUAUUUGACACCUGGACAUUUUCUCACUGGUUCGCCUCUUAUUACAUAUCCUGAGAUUAAUGUCACAGACGAACCAAUUGGUAGAUUAAGUUUUUGGAAACAAUGUGUAAAAAUGCAACAGUGCUUUUGGAAGCAAUGGCACAAACAAUACCUAGUUAUGCUUCAGAGUAGGCCUAAAUGGAAAAAUGAGUCUAACAACAUUAAGAUUGGGACAAUGGUAUUGUUAAAGGACGACAAUGUAUCACCACUGAAUUGGCCAGUUGGUAGAGUCCAUGAUGUUAUGCCGGGCAAAGACGGCAAGGUUAGAGCCUUAGAAAUAAAAACCUGUAAAGGUUCAAUUAUUAGAACUAGUAUAAUGAAAGUUUGUGUCUUACCUAUUCAUGAAGAUUAAUAUUGUGUUAGCCAAUAAAGGGCAUUUCAUAUGUUUUUUAAAGAACUAGAUAACUAGUAAUUAAGAAAACUUCACUUUAAGAUAAAUAAUCGUACAUGCCAAUGUGUGUAAUCUUUGUAGAUGUUUAUGUUUAUAUUAUUUUAGUUAACUUACUAAAGAUAAAGUAGGUUCAUGUUUUUAGUUUAAAGUUAAAGUAAGAUAUUGUAUGUAAAGGUUUCGUAAGAUAACGAUUUCCUAGUUACUUUAUUCAAUCUUUUACGAUAAGAUUAGUGUUUGUAAUACUGAUUGACUAUGUUUCGCAUUGAAAGUUGGGUUUUAAAUUCUAUUUCAAUACUGUCUAGAGGUUGUUUAAUUCUAACUAUUAGACCGUAUAAAAAUUAAAAACUUAAAAUACAGUCCACUAUUUAUUUAGAGCGAGUUAUCGAGUUAAAUUUUUUAUUUCAUGUAUUAAGCAGAAACUUUUGCCUUUGGCCCCCAAUAUGUUCAAUGCAAACAUCAGUCACUCAUUCAUACUUAUUCAUUCGUUCCUUUUUGACAUUCAUUCUAUUGGAGAGAAUCGGACGGAUUGCACGUUGGAGUCUAUAACCUCCACCCCAAAAUUGUUUUACAAUUAAUUAACGUGUAUCCAAUGUGUCAAUAUACGCAAUUCGAAAUUUAACAA